rnacentral:rRNA from 1 species
UACGUAGGUGGCAAGCGUUUGUCCGGAUUUAUUGGGGUUUAAAGGGUGCGUAGGCGGCCUAUUAAGUCAGUGGUGAAAUAUCUCAGCUCAACUGAGAGUGUGCCAAUGAUACUGAUGGGCUUGAGUACAGAUGAGGUAGGCGGAAUUGACGGUGUAGCGGUGAAAUGCUUAGAUAUCGUCAAGAACACCUAUAGCGAAGGCAGCUUACUAGGCUGUAACUGACGCUGAGGCACGAAAGUGUGGGGAUCAAACAGG